UAAAGUUGAUGGAUGUGAAAACACUAUAUAAGCAUAACUUACCAUUUUAAUCUUUCUUUGUGACCUUGAGGAGCUGGAAGGGCCGUGGCCAUCAUCAAUAUCAAAGCUUUUCGAGCACUUCACUUGGGCCGUGCACCAUGCCAUGCUUUCACCCAUGAUCUCAUUUAGUUAUUACAAGUCAGGUGAAGUAGGUAUUAAUAUUAACCCCAUUUUGCAGAUGCAGAAACUGAGGUGCAGAGAAGUUACUGACCUUGUCCCAGGACCCACAGCUAGAAAGUGAUGGACUCAGGAUCCCAACUCAGAUCUGUCAGACCUCAAAGCCUCUGAUUUGAAACUACUAUGAAAGGUUGCAAAACUCCUAGUAGCAACCCAGCAGAAUAGAAAGAUGGGGAGGGAUCAUCUUUUCCAUUUGGAGGAAGAACAGAGAGCUUAAGAGUCCCACAGACCUGGUGGUCGUUGUGCUGUACCUCCAGGUGCUGUGUGACUUUGGACCAGGCAUCUUGCUCCUCUGUGCCUCCACAUGCCUGCGGAAUUUCUAACAGGUUGCUCUAAGAAAUAGGAAGGAAAAUGUUGCCUGGGGCAUGGCAGAUGUGCCAGGAGCCAUGCUUCCCACACAGCCAUGGAUCUGCGUCCCACUUGGCUGCUGAGACCAACUCCUCGUGACCUUGUAUUUAUUUAGACCUUUGUUCUCCUCAGGGCCAGGAAUUGGUGGUGCCUGAUCCGAGUCUGUGGCCACCUAUGACUUCCUGAGUGGGGCCGUGGAGAUGGGGUAACCGAGACCCGCUGUGCAAAAGUGACUUUUACCUAAGAUACUCUGGACAGGGCAGAGCUAAUAUGCAUGG